UACGUAGGGGGCGAGCGUUGUCCGAAUUUACUGGGCGUAAAGCGCGCGUAGGCGGUGAAUUAAGUUGGUGGUGAAAGUCCGGGGCUCAACCCCGGAAUUGCUUCCAAUACUGGUUCACUUGAGGCAUGAAUGGGGAAGCAGAAUUCCGGGUGUAGCGGUGAAAUGCGUAGAUAUUCGGAGGAAUACCGGUGGCGAAGGCGGCUUCCUGGUCAUGUUCCUGACGCUGAGGUGCGAAAGCUAGGGUAGCGAA
rnacentral:rRNA from 1 species